rnacentral:tRNA from 1 species
GGGGCCAUAGCUCAGCUGGGAGAGCACCUGCUUUGCACGCAGGGGGACAGCGGUUCGAUCCCGCUUGGCUCCACCA